rnacentral:misc_RNA from 1 species
GGAGAGCCAGUGUGCUUUGAGCAACUGUGAGCUCUGAUCGGUGCGCACCUUACUCCCGUUGGAUCCUCGGCGUCCACAGUUUCUAAACAAUCUCUGUUUCCAGUUUUCCAGAAAUUAUGAAUAUAUACCAAUGAUAUUUCCAUGCUUCACGAGCGCGGAAAAGUUUCUCGAGACAAAUAGAGCCAGCAAUGAUGCUUUGACUCAGGGAUGCUGCGAUCAGGUGCCUGAAAAUCUUUCUAAAAACAGUGCACACAUAAUUCUCUAUCAAAGUCCUCCUCGUGAAAACGUCGAAAAUGAGACUCGGAUAGAAAGAAAUCGUCUUCGUGUAGACAUUCGCAAUGGGCCACACUAUCAAAAGGAAAAGGAAAAAAGUUUGAGAAAAUCUCUUUCACUAACAAAACUGUCCUGUACUGGAUGUUAUUCCAUUUUCACGUGUGCAAUAUCGAUCGAAUGCACUAACAAAAGGAAACCUAGGCCCAUAAACCGUUUAAAGGGGUGAAAACAACCCCCGAAGGUGGACAUCUUCACGGGGUGGUUUCUCAGUUUCGCUUGGAAGCACUUGAUGUUUUCGAAUGAAAUGAACGUUAAAAUAUUUUUAUUGAUGAAUCAUCGAAAGCGCACUCCAGACUUUCUAGGAAAAAGAAUAUUUGAGGGGCGAACAACCCCUAAUUCGAAAAUUUCAUUUUGAGUCGUAAAAAAUUAUUCUUCUCAUUCGCACGAAACCAACCGCUUUUUGUAGAGGUCAAAGAAUUAGCCAAUGCGUACUUCGGGGUUUUUCCGAAAAAUUCGAUUUUAAGGAGGCGAAUUACUCCUUUUGUCAUAAUACCUUAGAUAAUUAGCUAAUAAACUUUUGUUUUCUUGAUUA